UUCAACUUUCCUUGAACCUCUGACUGUUAGCGUUCUCUUCCGAGUUAACAUAUUUGGUGUCAGAAGUGGGAUCUGUGACCCUUUUGCUCUUUUCCUGUCGCUGCGUAACACCAACAUAAGGCACAUGCACAAGACUGCUGUGCUCAGUUGUCUUCUAGGUGGCUCUGAGAGAUUUCAGAUAGAGUCCACAGUCCUGAACCUCUCGCCUUUGUCAAGUUUCAAGAUUGUUUCAUCCAGAGAAAGUGCCUUUUUGUUUUUGGUCAUAAGGAUGCCUACAAAUUUUCAGAACCAUGAAGCGAUGCUUUCUUAGCUCUUUCUGUCGGAUGAACAGUAUAUACCUAAAGACGAAAAUGCAGACAUAAGAAACCUGACAUGUGAAUCUUGACCAGAGCUGUGUUGAUGGUCCUAAAUCUCUCCCUGCUUCACCUGUGCCUCAUGAUUACUUGAACCUUGAAAUUAUAGUAAAGCUUGAUACUAGAUGAACUUUUUUAUGGGGAAACAUCCCCUAUCAUCUUCAUAUCAUCCCAACUCCAAGAGACUGAUUUCCAUGCCAGCUCUGAUAUAUAUGUCUGAAUUGAAGACAGAGACUCAAAUAAAUACUUGCAAACUCAUGUUCAUGGAAGCACUAUGAUGAAUAAUAAGAUGAAGAAUAAGAUGAAUAAAUAAGAAAAAAAUUGUGAAAAGUGACAUGCAUCAUAUCCAGGAUAAGCUUUUAGUUGCCCAAUGCGAGAAAUUAAAGAGCUUUCCUCCCUAACAUGGCAACUGAACGUUCAAGAUCGUGAGUGCUCCAUCAGCCUGGGUGACUGAAUGAUUGAGUGUCUAAGAUGAACAAAGUCUCACCUUGAGGGACAUGUCAUUAGAAUGGGAAAACCCUUGCAGUUUUAAGCCACUGAGAUUUUGGGAUUGUUUGCCGUGUAACAUAACCUAGUGGAUCAUAACUA